UACGAAGGGUGCAAACGUUGCUCGGAAUUAUUGGGCGUAAAGCGCACGUAGGCGGCUUAGUAAGUUGGAUGUGAAAUCCCUCGGCUUAACCAAGGAAGUGCAUCCAAAACUACUGAGCUUGAGUACUAAAGAGGAUCGCGGAAUUCCCGGUGUAGAGGUGAAAUUCGUAGAUAUCGGGAGGAACACCAGUGGCGAAGGCGGCGAUCUGGGUAGAUACUGACGCUGAGGAGCGAAAGCAUGGGGAGCGAACAGG
rnacentral:rRNA from 1 species